ACUGACACUGUGAUUCAAAAUAAAUCCUAGCCGUUAAUUUCAGCAAUCACAGUUUAAUCUCAGCCUUCAAUCUCAUUCCGACUUCUAUAAAUAUCACUCCACCUCCCUCCGUUGGAUUCUCGCCUUGGGUGAUAGGUUUCAAGAUGGUGGUCGGUGGUGGAGGAUCUGGUUAAUUCUGGUUUUUUCUUCUAUUUUCUGCUAGACAUCAGUGAGGUCGUGUUGGUUUGAUUGUUUAUAUUGACGAUAUGAUUUGUGUAUGUUUCGGUUCCUAUGUGCAGAAAAGAUUAUGAUGCGAAGAUAAUUGUUGAUGUGGAUAUUUCUUCUUUUCUCCAUACCUGGUUAUUGUUUGCAAGUUAUUUUUGCCGAAGAUCGAAAUGCCUAGGAUUAUUUAGGAUCACUUUCUGGUUUGGUUUAGAUUUGGUAGAUUGUUCACCAUGUAGGUAGAAUAUUUUCUGGUUGAUUUGUGGUGUUAGGUAUUGGAAUAAGCAGAAUCAAGGCUUCAGAUCGAAGAUAUUUAAAUUGGUUACGUUGGCCUUCUGUUUGAUUGGGGAAUUUGUGUUUUUAAUGAAUUGCGAUGCAGCUUCACACAGAUCUGAUGAUUGGUUCAUUGAUUGAUUUCAGCUCUAGUAGGAAAGAGAGGGUGAUUCCUGAUAUUAACGCUGUGUUGCGGAUAGCUUGAUAAUCGAUUUAAUAUGAUAUUUUUGGAUUAUUGCAAUUUAUUCCUCUUUUCACGUCUCCACGGAGACAUCCAUUCAAGUUCGGUGAUUUUAAAUGAGUUUCUCUCUCUUGGGUCAAGUGUUAUUUCGUCCCUCCUUCAACAAGUGUUCACAGUUUGAUCAUUUUUUUAAAUCUUUAAACUCUGUUUAAAAUGAUUGUAUGAUGGCUAGCAAAAACGGUUCUUUUGGUGGUUCCUUUCUGUAUCUUUUCAAGAUUGGUGGUUUGUGGUUUGAUUUUCAGGAUCAGGGAGCAUUUUAUGUAAUCCUUUUAAACCUGUCGGCAGGGUAGCGAGGGAGAUUUUCUUUUACCCUCUUUUUUGUGCCCUCGUUAAUUUAAUUGGGCAUGUAGAACUAGUUUCUGUGUUUUGAGCUAACUGUUCGAAGAGAUGUUGACUGUGUAUGAUAAUAACCUAAUGUGAUAAUAUUUAAAUUUUUAGUGCCUCCAAUGUAUCAUACUAUGGAGCAUAGUGUGAUCAAACAUGACGUUGUUUGGGAAGUAUUCUCCUUUUUUGGUCUGGAUUCUCUUAAAAAUGAGAAAUAUCUGAGCUUUGUAAGGCAUCCUGAUCUUCUGCUUCUUUAUCAGGAAGAUAGAUAUAACAAAUUUUACUUAAAAGACAAGAAUUUAUAGUACUUCCGAGUAUAAUAGUAGUAAAUGAGUUUUAGAUGUUUGUUUUCCAGGAUCUGUAUGUCAUGGACCAAUAGUGAUGCAUAAGUGGAUUUGAGUGGGAUUCCAGCGACUGGCAGCUUGUGCCUUGUGGAUAGGCACGAAUAGGAAGUCUUUGUUUGAGUUUUGGUGUAAGAUGUGUUUGAUACAAUGGUAUUCAGUCCUUCAUAGAAGAUGCUCUUUUUUGAUACAAUGGACUUGAGAUGAACUGUAUAUAGGGAGAAGUUGAUGUGAAAGGGAGUAUUCAUCGUCUUCUUUUCAUGUUGGUGGUUUUUAGGUGUAAGCUUUUUUUUUGUCUGUUUCUAUUGGUCCACAGGUGGUGUUGUGGUUAAUUCUGAUAACCAUAGUAAUUUUUCAGGAUUCUGUUAAUGUAGUGGACUAAUGGAUUUGGGGAGAGACAUAUAGAUAGAGAUGUUCUUUUUGCUGCACUCAUUUGGUGUUAGCUACAGCUUAGAUGUAAGCUUGAAUAUUCUAUCUACAACUCAAUAUUUGAUAAUAUCUGUACAGGCUUGAUCCGGAAGUCUUUUUGUACCUUGGUUUUUGGUUGAGUUUUUCUACUUGAGGUUCAAAUUUGUUCUUCUCAAGACCUGUCCAUCAACUUUGAUUAUUCCAAGCAUUGAUGAUUCCCUGGUGUGAUUUCCAGGUCCAUGGAGCAUUUUGGUGGUUGGAUGCUAUGUUCACGGUGAAACCUGGGUAGUCAGGAAGAUUUUUCUUUUAUCUCUCCUUAUUUUUCUGCCAGUUAAAUUUAUACCUCCAUACACUUUAGUCACACAAAACUAGUUUCUGAGUUUCUAUGUGUGUGUUUCCAGCUUUUGACGAAGAUAUGGAGCAGGGAGUUUUCUUGCCUCUUCUGAUGUUUGCUCUUCCCCAUUCUUGUGUGAAUAUUGUUAUAAUACUAGAUUUUCUUUAUCAGGUUUCCUUGGAUCCAGUGGAGCCUUCUCCCUCUCUCUCUCUUCCCUUUUUUUUGCUUGUUUGAGAAAAAUAUUUGGCUCCUUUCCCUUAAUUAUCUCUUCUUAAAUGUGUACAGACAUACACACAUUGCAUAUCCAAUCCUUUAUUUAAUCUCUGCUCCUUCUCAUCUUGGUUAUGAAAUUGAGCAGGCUUUUCUAAUGAUUCCACGUUUGGAUUUGUUUGUCGUUCCUUGUGUUUAGUAAGCUUGCUAUGCUGAUAAUAUAUUUUGUUCAAUCCACUUUGAGUUCUACAGUAUCAUUUAAAGCAAUGAUGUUUUGUCAUUGACCUUUCAAACUUCUUUUGUGUUAGGGGUAGGAGCAAUUUAGCACUGUUCCAUCUUGGUUAUGAUCUUUCCUCAUGUUUUUGCUGAUUAUCUAUUUUAGGAUGUUUGUUUGGUUAUUGGUUCAAAGAUCAUCAUCUGAAGCUACAUUUGGGUUUUUUUNNNNN
rnacentral:lncRNA from 1 species